rnacentral:rRNA from 2 species
CACACAGUAAACGAUGAAUACUCGCUGUUUGCGAUAUACAGUAAGCGGCCAAGCGAAAGCAUUAAGUAUUCCACCUGGGGAGUACGCCGGCAACGGUGAAACUCAAAGGAAUUGACGGGGGCCCGCACAAGCGGAGGAACAUGUGGUUUAAUUCGAUGAUACGCGAGGAACCUUACCCAGGCUUAAAUUGCAGAUGAAUAUGUGGGAAACCAUAUAGCCAGCAAUGGCAUCUGUGAAGGUGC